rnacentral:rRNA from 1 species
CCUACGGGGGCAGCAGUGGGGAAUAUUGGACAAUGGGCGAAAGCCUGAUCCAGCCAUGCCGCGUGUGUGAAGAAGGCCUUCGGGUUGUAAAGCACUUUCAGUGGGGAAGAAAGCCUUGGGGCUAAUACCCUCGAGGAAGGACAUCACCCACAGAAGAAGCACCGGCUAACUCCGUGCCAGCAGCCGCGGUAAUACGGAGGGUGCGAGCGUUAAUCGGAAUUACUGGGCGUAAAGCGCGCGUAGGCGGUCUGAUAAGCCGGUUGUGAAAGCCCCGGGCUCAACCUGGGAACGGCAUCCGGAACUGUCAGGCUAGAGUGCAGGAGAGGAAGGUAGAAUUCCCGGUGUAGCGGUGAAAUGCGUAGAGAUCGGGAGGAAUACCAGUGGCGAAGGCGGCCUUCUGGACUGACACUGACGCUGAGGUGCGAAAGCGUGGGUAGCAAACAGGAUUAGAUACCCGUGUGUC